CACUGGCGGCGUGCUAAUACAUGCAAGUAGAACGCUGAAGAGAGGAGCUUGCUCUUCUUGGAUGAGUUGCGAACGGGUGAGUAACGCGUAGGUAACCUGCCUUGUAGCGGGGGAUAACUAUUGGAAACGAUAGCUAAUACCGCAUAACAAUGGAUGACACAUGUCAUUUAUUUGAAAGGGGCAAUUGCUCCACUACAAGAUGGACCUGCGUUGUAUUAGCUAGUAGGUGAGGUAACGGCUCACCUAGGCGACGAUACAUAGCCGACCUGAGAGGGUGAUCGGCCACACUGGGACUGAGACACGGCCCAGACUCCUACGGGAGGCAGCAGUAGGGAAUCUUCGGCAAUGGGGGCAACCCUGACCGAGCAACGCCGCGUGAGUGAAGAAGGUUUUCGGAUCGUAAAGCUCUGUUGUAAGUCAAGAACGAGUGUGAGAGUGGAAAGUUCACACUGUGACGGUAGCUUACCAGAAAGGGACGGCUAACUACGUGCCAGCAGCCGCGGUAAUACGUAGGUCCCGAGCGUUGUCCGGAUUUAUUGGGCGUAAAGCGAGCGCAGGCGGUUUGAUAAGUCUGAAGUUAAAGGCUGUGGCUCAACCAUAGUUCGCUUUGGAAACUGUCAAACUUGAGUGCAGAAGGGGAGAGUGGAAUUCCAUGUGUAGCGGUGAAAUGCGUAGAUAUAUGGAGGAACACCGGUGGCGAAAGCGGCUCUCUGGUCUGUAACUGACGCUGAGGCUCGAAAGCGUGGGGAGCGAACAGGAUUAGAUACCCUGGUAGUCCACGCCGUAAACGAUGAGUGCUAGGUGUUGGAUCCUUUCCGGGAUUCAGUGCCGCAGCUAACGCAUUAAGCACUCCGCCUGGGGAGUACGACCGCAAGGUUGAAACUCAAAGGAAUUGACGGGGGCCCGCACAAGCGGUGGAGCAUGUGGUUUAAUUCGAAGCAACGCGAAGAACCUUACCAGGUCUUGACAUCCCGAUGCUAUUUCUAGAGAUAGAAAGUUACUUCGGUACAUCGGUGACAGGUGGUGCAUGGUUGUCGUCAGCUCGUGUCGUGAGAUGUUGGGUUAAGUCCCGCAACGAGCGCAACCCCUAUUGUUAGUUGCCAUCAUUCAGUUGGGCACUCUAGCGAGACUGCCGGUAAUAAACCGGAGGAAGGUGGGGAUGACGUCAAAUCAUCAUGCCCCUUAUGACCUGGGCUACACACGUGCUACAAUGGUUGGUACAACGAGUUGCGAGUCGGUGACGGCAAGCUAAUCUCUUAAAGCCAAUCUCAGUUCGGAUUGUAGGCUGCAACUCGCCUACAUGAAGUCGGAAUCGCUAGUAAUCGCGGAUCAGCACGCCGCGGUGAAUACGUUCCCGGGCCUUGUACACACCGCCCGUCACACCACGAGAGUUUGUAACACCCGAAGUCGGUGAGGUAACCUUUUGGAGCCAGCCGCCUAAGGUGAUUAGGGAGG
rnacentral:rRNA from 1 species